rnacentral:rRNA from 1 species
GACGAGCGCUGGCGGCGUGCUUAACACAUGCGAGUCGAACGGAAAGGCCCUGCUUUUGUGGGGUGCUCGAGUGGCGAACGGGUGAGUAACACGUGAGUAACCUGCCCUUGACUUUGGGAUAACUUCAGGAAACUGGGGCUAAUACCGGAUAGGAGCUCCUGCUGCAUGGUGGGGGUUGGAAAGUUUCGGCGGUUGGGGAUGGACUCGCGGCUUAUCAGCUUGUUGGUGGGGUAGUGGCUACCAAGGCUUUGACGGGUAGCCGGCCUGAGAGGGUGACCGGCCACAUUGGGACUGAGAUACGGCCCAGACUCCUACGGGAGGCAGCAGUGGGGAAUAUUGCACAAUGGGCGGAAGCCUGAUGCAGCAACGCCGCGUGCGGGAUGACGGCCUUCGGGUUGUAAACCGCUUUCGCCUGUGACGAAGCGUGAGUGACGGUAAUGGGUAAAGAAGCACCGGCUAACUACGUG